AUUGCACUAGGGUUUCAGCUUCUUCACUACGCUUCCACCUCCCUCAUUCACAUUCUGCCUGCCUCCAUGAAGAAACCCUAGCCGCCUCCCUAUGAAGGAACACCACGAAAAAACUCACACUUGGGGGAAGAAAUUUUAGGGUUUGUUAAAGGAGAUGGUCAGAACUCAGAACGACGGCAAUGGAUUGGAAUUUAGGGUUCUUCGAUCUCGGUUUUAGGGUUUCGUGUUAACCAGGUAACUUCCUGGUCUGACUCAUUUGUGUUUCAUCAGGAUCCAACAGGUGCUCUCUAACCCUAAAAUUGAUUGGCCUUUAAUCAACAUUAAGAUUUUGAUUUGUUUUUUUAUGCAGGACUCAAGGCGCUUAAUCUAUCUGAAUGAACGAUUGAGGGAGAAAGCUCUUGAAAAGAAACCUAAAAUCUGGGACAUUUUGAAAGCUAAUGCAUCAUUCCAACAAAGCAUUAGUGGAAAAACCAUCCAAUCAGUUGCCAGAAUCAAGCUCUUGCUGCAGAGAAAAAAAAUUAUUUGACGCAAAAGUCGUUAAUGGCUCUUGAAAUGGAGAGCCAACAAGCCACCGAGUUCAUUCCCGAGUUAGAGUUCACAUUUACUUAUCCCUUUUAGUCGAAGAAAGCAGUGCAGGUUGCGAGUCUAGCCAACAAGUGACUUUGAAGCUAAUCAUCAAUAGAAUGCUAGUGUAUUUCGAUCAAUAUUGUUAGGCUGGCUGGAGUUGAAGAUUUACUAAUUUUGGCUAUCAAAACAGCUGAACAAGAGGUUAAGUGGCAGAUAGGUUUCGUGUUAAAUGUUCUAGGUCACACAAUAGUUUGACCAGAAAAUUUAUAAUGUUUUGCUAUCCAUGGACUUUCACCAACAGUGAAGUGAGGUAUCAUACAAUUUAUUUCCAAAGUUAGGUCAUCUGAGGUUAGAUGCUGGAAAAAUGGUACUCUCUUCUUAGUGGAGGAAGUGGUUGAUCCAAAUAAUACGUCUCGAAAAUUUCUAGAGCACUUGAUUGGUGGAGAAAGCGCAUUACUUCGUGGAGGUUUUUGGUUGAUAUGGAGAAUAACAGGGAGAAUGUAAAGUAACCGAAAAGAGCGUAUAAGGUCGAAGCAAAAGAUGCAAGCGAACCGUUUUUGAAAGUCCAUGGACGUCUAUAGAUCUUUUACAUUUGGUUAUGAGUUCAUAUGCUUUCAUUAUUCGCUUUUAGACCUGGGUCGAAAUUACCAAGUAGUUUUCAAGUUGAAAGAUUCUUUUCAAACGAGAUAAUGUAUUUCCUUCAUUUACUUA